UGCCUAAGACAUGCAAGUCGAACGAAGUAGCCUAAUGAAGACCGAGUGCUUGCACAAAGUCGGAUUUAGAUUUCUACUUAGUGGCAGACGGGUGAGUAACACGUGGGUAACCUACCUCAGAGACUGGGAUAACAGUUAGAAAUGAUUGCUAAUACCGGAUGAUUCAUAGUUAGAUAACUAAUUAUGCUAAAAGGAGCUUUCGCUUCACUUUGAGAUGGGCUUGCGUUGUAUUAGUUAGUUGGUGGGGUAAUGGCCUACCAAGACAACGAUGCAUAUCCGAGCUGAGAGGCUGAUCGGACACACUGGGACUGAGACACGGCCCAGACUCCUACGGGAGACAGCAGUGGGGAAUAUUGGACAAUGGGGGCAACCCUGAUCCAGCGACGCCGCGUGUGUGAAGAAGGCCUGCGGGUUGUAAAGCACUUUUAGUGGGGAGGAAGGUCUGCGACCUAACACGUCGUGGAAUUGACUUAACCCACAGAAAAAGCACCGGCUAACUCUGUG
rnacentral:rRNA from 1 species